GCCAACGUUCAUAUCACUUUGAAUACACCAGUUCUCGUCCGAUCACUGAAGUUAAGCAACGUCGAGCGUGGAUAGUACUUGGAUGGGUAACCGCUUGGGAACACCACGUAACGUUGGCG
rnacentral:rRNA from 1 species